GUUAAGUGAUAACACUCAAUAAAUAAAAUGUGCUUUUAUUUAUUCACUAACUUUUUCACAUUUCCAACUAAAACAGAAAUACAAGCUUAAGACUCAUCAAAUCCCCUAUCACAUCAAAUUUACAAAACAAACGCACAAGGUUUACAAAAAUGCGCAAGAUUGAAUAAACAGCAGGAUCCAAAUGUGGGGAAAUAAAAAGACUGGAUGGUAAUAUAACAAAUAACAUUAGCAAAUAUAGCUGAGGGGGGAAAUACGUGAUUUCUUAUUUUCUUCGUUAUACGUUCCUAUAAUUUUCCAAGUUUUCCCACGGUUUACAUUUAUUACUUUCAUAAUCAGAAAAAAACACCUCAUUUAAAAAAUAAACCGUACAUCAUAUAAAAAGGGUUCAUUCAGAAGGGUUCUCCAUAUUAUACAAGUAUUACUGACAUGAUUCACCGUUAAAGAUAACGUCUCCACACUUUCUCACUUGCCAACACUAACAUGCUGCUGUUUUAUGUCCUAUUACUUUUCUGCUGCAUCUCCUAAUGUUUCAUUUCUACAUACAUACACGCUUUUCAUUUUUUCAUACAACACAAUAAAAGUCUCACUGAUCACUUAAAUCCUACCUCUAAAUCUCCUUAUUAAAAAUUAGGGGGAAAAAAAAGAUGGUUUUACCUACUAAUUACAACUUCGUGAACCCACCAUCACUUUAGCUACGGAAAAGUCAAGGCCGGGUAAACUACACGUCCCACCAUGCAUUGCUGCCUUGUUCAGAGUAGGUCUCUACGGAAACAGAAAAAAAAAAAAUUCUACAAGUCCCACCUGUUACUUCGUUUCUAAACACCUCCUGCACUUUCAGCUUCAACAGCAAACAAAAACAAGAGCCUCGUGACCUCACGUUGGAUCUGGGAGCCCAGACGAGCAGGGAACCCGGGGUCAGGCGGCAUGUCCGCUAUAGCGGGUAAAUUCUACCAAGAUCCAGCGCUCCUCUCUUCUUUCCGGGGCUGGGUGCACGCACAAGCCUUCUCCUAUCUGCAUCCAAUGGGGGCUCUUCAGCCGCACAAGGGAGAAGAACCGGUUACUGUGCAAGCACAACCGACUUCCCCAUGCCGGGGCGCGAGCUACCACAGAGUGGAGAGUUUUUGGCUUUCCACCGGAUGGGAUGAGAGAGGAGUCAUUCUGGUUUCACUUCCUUGCUCACAUAAGCAAGAAGUCAAGACUGGCAAUUCCUGAGGCCAGUUCCUCAAGUUUUCACAAUUACAACCAUGGAUUCCCACUAUCCCAACCUCUCUACCCACAUGGACUGAAU
rnacentral:lncRNA from 1 species